UAUUCAGGGGAAUGAGGAUGUACUGUUCCAACCUCACCACUUCUUCAACAACCCCUUCCUAUUUACCAUUUUGCCACUCCACUUAUCUUUCUCCUCCUUCUCAUUUCCGAUCAUCUGACAAAAACUCGAAUCUCGUUUCCAUCUUCCGAGCAAAACCCAGAAUCUCUCAUUCCCUUGGGUGCUUUGCAUCCUCUUCAGUGGAGACGACUCCGACGACGCAGAGCAGCGAAACCAAACCUUUCUCUGUUCUUUUCGUAUGUCUCGGAAACAUCUGUCGGAGUCCAGCAGCUGAAGGUGUCUUUAGAGGUAUCGUGGAGAAGAGAGGUCUCCAUUCCAAAUUCAACAACCAUUGAUUAUCACGAGGGGGAAUAUGGCGGAUCCGAGAAUGAGACGCGCUGCGAAACGUUGAGGGAUUGAGAUAACAUCCUUAUCCAGACCGAUUAAGGCAUCUGAUUUCAGGGAGUUUGAUCUCAUUCUUGCAGUGGAUGAACAGAACAAAGGACGCGACCUCAGCCAAGAAGACCAAGAUACGCCGGACGCGACCGAGACGCAUGACCAAGACGCAUCGG